rnacentral:rRNA from 1 species
AACGAACGCUGGCGGCAUGCCUAACACAUGCAAGUCGAACGAAGCCUUCGGGCUUAGUGGCGCACGGGUGCGUAACGCGUGGGAAUCUGCCCCUUGCUUCGGAAUAACAGUUAGGAAUGACUGCUAAUACCGGAUGAAGUCUUCGGACCAAAGAUUUAUCGGCAAGGGAUGAGCCCGCGUAGGAUUAGGUAGUUGGUGGGGUAAAGGCCUACCAAGCCGACGAUCCUUAGCUGGUCUGAGAGGAUGAUCAGCCACACUGGGACUGAGACACGGCCCAGACUCCUACGGGAGGCAGCAGUGGGGAAUAUUGGACAAUGGACGCAAGUCUGAUCCAGCAAUGCCGCGUGAGUGAUGAAGGCCUUAGGGUUGUAAAGCUCUUUUACCAGGGAUGAUAAUGACAGUACCUGGAGAAUAAGCUCCGGCUAACUCCGUG